UGAUUUUACAUUUGGUAGUGCAUAUAUGUCCUAUACCAUUUCCUAUACUACUUUAACUUCUUUGUUCCUAUUUGUUCUUAUUUGUUCUUUGUUCUCCUUAAUUACUUAUAUUUAUAUUUUGAAUCAUUAAAUGAUACUCCAGAUUUAAAAUCCCCGGUUUGUUAAAAGAAUAAAGGCAAAUGCUGUAUUGCUUUUUUAAAGCCUCCUCACUUAGGAUUAUUUAAAUUGCAUUUUUCCUGAUUUUUUCCUACACAAGGGGUUAUAAACAGACUUUAUAUGAAAAAGAAUAGAAAAUUGAACAGAGUUCUGCAUAAGGAGGGAAGAGCUUUAUUAGGAGGAGAAAGAUGUGCUGGAGCCAAUGAGUGUUGUUUUAACCCAAAAACGUGAACCUUUCUGUGUGAAGAUGUCAACACAAAGCAACACAAUCAUGUAGAUUUUAUUACAGUGUAGUUAUUAGCAAAGAUAAGAGUAAAAUAGUCUGGACACUUUUUCUUUGUUUCAGCUUUUAAACAUUAGUUCUGACCGUGAUAAGUUAAAAAAAAAAACUUAGAGAAUUUUAAUAUCUGAGACUCAGCCAAAAAUAAAGCCAAUAAAGGCACGUAGGCAUCUUCAUUUCCUGUUUACAUCCCUUAGAAUCAGGAAAUCAUUCUGAUUCUCGACAGAUAAUUUCCUUUCAGUUGCAUUUGCUUAAAGGUUAUUUUUCUUCUCUAAUGUUCCAUAAAGUAUUCCCCGAUGGUCCAGUCCAUAAUGACCCUUGCUUUUUCCACCUGGGAUUUUAUUUCCUCAGUUGGAUGAGAAGCAGUAUUUAGACCUCGUAUUUCUUAUCCAAUCCUGCACUGGGCACAUUUUUUGUUCUUAGGCAGUGUCCUGGUAUCAGAGAUUUCUCUUUGCUGUUCUGUUGAGAAAUAGGGGGUUUGUGGACCUUAAGAGGAAACACACACUCAUGCAGAUGGAGAUGAGGCAUGAAGGCUCCUGGACAUGGUACAUAAAAAGUCUUGGGAGCUGGCAAAGACUAUGGAACCACCUUAGCAUCUUGUCAGUGGGUCUGCACUGGUCAGUCACCUUAGAGAAAGUUGAGUUCAGACAAGGAAUUGAGAUCAUUGUGUGUACGGGGGAGUGGUGGUGGGACAGAGUGUUCCCUGUGGCAGGGGAAAUCUGUCCUUUUUUUGGUUUUUCAAUUUAGACAUUGUUCUGCUGAGUAAGACUGGCUCUAGGGCUGUGAAGUCUAGGGAAAUAGUUUCUUCAUUUUGUGAAUGGAUAUGGUUCCAGUGCAGUGAGAGGGACAUUCUGAAUAUGUGUAGUAGAAUCUACCCUCAGAGGCCCUGGGGCUGGAGCUCACAGUACGUUUUGGGCCUUCACAGAGAGCCCUAAAUCAGGAAGCUUUAGGGAAAGAGACGGGCUCUCCUGGGAGUGCAGAGACGGGAGACCCAGGCUCCUCUAACUCUUAGGUCUACUGUUGCCAUCCCAGCAGCCCCUACUGCCCAGCUAAGCAGAGGAAAGUGAGUCCUCUACUUAGGGGUGGCCUUGAGGCUAGGGAGGCACAGGGUGAAAGCAGCAUAGGGGGUCAGUGCUGAGGUAUCCAAGUAUGGGCCCCAGCAGUGGAAGUAACCACUGAGUGACCAGCUAGCAGGCCUGCCAGCCUCUCACUACCAGCCCUAGGAGAGCCCUGACCCCAGACCCAGGAGAGAGAGAAGCAGUUCUCCUUGAAAGAAUGAAAAAAUGCAAACUAGCAACAGAAGGGCUGGGUGACAAAUGAGCUGGGCAUGGGUGAGGGAGAGAAUGAGGAGUUGAGAUCCGUGCCAGGCUGGAACACAGGCCCGGGCAGGCAGCAAGGCAGGCAGCACUGUGGGCACCGGAAAGGGCCUGGAGCUGGGACUCAGCAGGCCAGCUUUCAGUGCCACACCAGCUGCUCACAAGCUGUUUGACCUUGGCCAAGCUAAUCUGAUUGUCUAAUAUUUUUGGUUCAGUGGAGCUGUGGUGGAAGUGAAGCUCCCUGAGAUUACUUGUUUCUAUCUAGCAGUUAUAGGAUGAGGCUUGGCCAAUCCCCAUCCAGACCUGCAUGAGUCCUAUUGUACCUGAAGCUGUGACUUCAUCAGCCUUAUCACCUAGGAGGUGAGAGAGCUGGGCAGAGAAUUCCGUGUCCUCAGACCUCGAUGGCAGAAGUUGUACCAGGGGCCAGUUUAUUCCCAAAUGGUGUUCCUUGGCUCUAUGCCUUGUUUGCUAUGCUCUUUGUAUUUUUUCUCUUUGUCAUGUUUUCUUCCUUUUUACUUGAGAUAGACCAACAUGUAAAGAAAUGUAAGUGCCAUGGUGGGCUUUAGGACACAGGCCAACUAUAAUGAGGGAAUGUGUGUAUGGAGCAAGGAGAAGGUGUUAUUAUUAUAUGUUAUAUUUUAUAUAAUAUAUAACAUAUGUUAUAUAUAUGUUAUAUAUAAUAUGUUAUAUAUGUAUAAUAUAUGAUAUAUGUUAUAUAUAAUAUGUUAUAAUGCAGGGAACACGAGGAAAAAUGUCUACUCUUCUCUGAUCCCCAAGGUCUCAAUGACCCAGGGCUAAAGGUCUUAGAAUUAUAAUCUUAUAUGUGAUAGAAGUACUUGGGUAACACAGGUCAGGACUGGGCUAAGUCCAUUCCUGGUGUACCUGUGGAGUAUGAGGAAGUAUCAGGGGCCCUGCCUGAGCCUACAUAAUGCCCAGGCUUAAGGAUCUAAGGAACCCUGUGGAACCUGGGGAUAUAUGGAGUUUCCAGAUGAUCUCUGACCCAGUGUGCUUUGUCAUAGUGUUGCUCAGAUGCAGGUAUUCUCUGCAUAAUGCUGUCCAUAAGGAUAAAGAAAACAAUGGCAUAAAGAUGGAUCAUCUGGGAAGACCAGGCUGUCCCCUGGAGUCACCAAGGACAGAAGUUCUUGGAGGGCAGGAAGAUGAGAUGAGAGAAGAUCCCCCACUAUUCGUGAGGGUAGCAAGAGAGCCCAGGGAUUCUGAGGCUGAGAUCUGUGCCCCUGGGCCAUCAGUUUGAGAGUGGCUAAGCCUGCAAGGAGUCCUGUGACAUCUUAUCUCAGAUGGGGGAGGUCUUUUGAGACCCUCAUUAUCUGUGUUUAUACUGGAAAAAAAGAUAAUAAAUAUUUUGAGACUCUCAGAAAAGUUCUGUGCUACCAGGAAUUUUUUGUUGAACUGAUAGCUUCUUACACUCAACUGUUUUUACUCAACUUAAAUCUCAAGAGAAUUUCCUAUUUCCAGGUGAAAUCCUAGGCUAGUGACAUGCUGCUGGAUACUCUCGUGAUGCUGGGCAGUGGUGGCAGCGAGACACAGCUCCCAAUCAGUCACACCAUCACGAGGGCGAACAACCAUUCUGUACCCAGACAACAAUUCCACUUUUCGUUCUCAGUGCAGCAUUCAAUGAAUUAUGUGAGAUAUUCAACAUUACAAAAUAAGCUUUGUAUUAGAUGAUUUUGCCCAACUGUAGGCUAAUGUAAGCGUUCUGAGCCCAUUUAAGGUAGGCUAGGCUAAGCUAUCUUGUUUGGGAGGUUAAGAGUAUUAAAAGCAUUUCGAUUUAGGGUAGUUUCAAUUUACCACGGGUUUAUCAGGAGGUAACCCCAUUGUAAGUCGAGGAAGAUCUGUCUUUGAAAUUGACGAGAGGUGCAAAAGAAAAGGGAAAUGAGACAAAUGUCAUGUUUCUACAUGAUAGUUGCUUUGAAGCCCUAAGGGCUAGAAAAGGGUGCAUGCAGUACUCAAAUACUGAGAAAGGAUUAGAAAUCGAGUUGCAUCUAACACUUGGAUAUUUAACAAGUCAGUAAACUCUAAACAGUCUUGAAUUACUAUAUAUCUUUCUUUAAAUGUUAACCUUUCUUUAUAUUAAUAUGUUACAUGGAUAAGUGAUUUUUAGUAAAAUAUAAACUUUUACUGUAAGAGGUAUAUUUAUAUAGAAAAGACAUAAUUUAUGCAUUCAUUUCAGCUUUAGUUAUGCUGCCCUAAGAAACGAGGAAGUGAGCCAUUGAGUCUUUGUACCCUUAGCAGGCUUUGCUGUGCAUUUUUUGUCAGUGAUCAGAGUUACAGUGACAGAAAGAAAUGAAAGAACCCAAGAGCGUUAUGCGUUGUAGAGAUAACCGUACGUUAUUAAUAAAACCUUCAAAAAUCAUUAACUUUCCCUUCAUUAAAAAAGUAUAGGAAAAAUGUUUGAUUUGGUAAUAAGAAGAAAAUUAUUAUUUAAACCAAACUAGAAAAAGAUACAUGCAAAUGAAAACAUUGUCAAAUAAAAAUACAUAUUUAUAAAAUCCUAAAAAAGUCAGAAAGCCCAUUCAGAAAUUCAUAAAAUCAAGAACAAGAAAUGAAGACAAAUUCAAAUCAGCAAUAUUCCUUUUUAUUUAUUUAUUAAAAGGGUAUUCCUUUUAAUACCCUUGAAAGUCUUGCAUACAAUUUUUAGUAGUCACAUUCACCAAUUUAAUUUUUAGAAAUUCAUCAGCGGUCU